rnacentral:rRNA from 1 species
GAUCUACACAGAGUAGAUCGUCGGCAGCGUCAGAUGUGUAUAAGAGACAGGACUAAAUAUAUUAUAAAAGAGCGAUAGUGAACUAGUAACGUGAGUGAAAGUUGAAAAAGAUUUAUCUUCUUAUAUGUAGAUGAAAGCCAACGCAUAGUGAAAUAGAUUUUGAAAUUGAAUAUUUAAAAGCAAUAAGAGUUUAUAAAAAACAAUUAUGUACUUUUUGUAUAACGGAUUUGCGAGUAUAUUGAUUAUGCAUUAGAUGAAAAUCAUAGUGAAAACGAGUCUUAAAAGGCGUAAUAGUAUAAUUAAUAUGGACCCGAAACUAAGUGAUCUAUUCAUGAGCAGGUUGAAACUAAAUUAAUUUUUAGUGAAGGACCGAACCAUUCUCUGUUGCAAUAGGGUUGGAUGACUUGUGAAUAGUGGUGAAAUGCCAAUCGAACUUAGAUAUAGCUGGUUAUCUUCGAAAAGUAUUUUGGUACUGUCUAUAAUUAUAAUCUAUAAACGGUAGAGCACUAAUUUAAAAUUUGGCUUCUUAUUUAGUUGUACUGUUUUAAUUUAAACUUCGAAUUUUUAUAGUUAGUAUAUUAUAGAGACAGUCUUAGGGGGUAAGCUUCUAAGACAAAAGGGAAACAACCCUAAUUUAAAGCUAAGGUCAUUAAUUUAUAUUAUUAAGUGUUAAAAGAAUAAUUUAAACAAAGACAUCUAGAAAGUAGGCUUGGAAACAGCCAUCUUCUAAGAAUAACGUAACAGUUUACUAGACAAAUUGUUUUAAUUACCUGAAAAUUUAGGUGGCUUAAAUAUAUAACCGAAGCUUAAAUUUAAUAUUUUAUAUUAAAGGUAGAAGAUCGUAUUGUAAAUAUAAUUAAUAAGGAAACUUAUAAUCAAUAGUGAUAAUGCAAAUAUGAGUAACUAAAAAAUCUUUUAAAAAAAGAUUCACCGAUAUCCUAAGGUUUUCAACACAAUGAUUAACAAUGUUGUCAUUUAAACUGCCCCUAAGAUAUAAUUUGAAAAAAUCUAUUAAUGGGAAUAUUCAAUUCUAACAUAAAUUCUUUAAUUUAUCAAGAAAUAAGAUAUGAAUAUAUAAUAUAUUAUAAUAAUAUAUUAAUUAACAGUACUAAAACUAACACAAGUAGGAAAGAAGAGUAUUCUAAGGUGAUGGGAGAACUAUUUAUAAGGAACUCGGCAAAAUUUUUCCGUAAGUUCGCAAUAAGGAAAUCUGUAAAGAAACAUAAAAUCGAGGAAGGCGACUGUUUACUAAAAACACAACUUUAAGCAAAGAUUUAUAAUCCUAGUAUUUGAAGUGACCCCUGCCCAAUGAUUGUAAUUAAAAUAAUUAUAUUUAGUUUAUAAUUUAUAAAAUCAAUUAAAUGGCGGCCAUAACUCUGAUGGUCCUAAGGUAGCGCAGUCAAUAUUCAAUUAAUUGUUGAAAAGUAUGAAAGGGGUAACGAUCUUCCUACUGUCUCAUAAAUAGACCCAGUGAAAUUGAAAUCGUAGUGAAGAUGCUACGUUAAAACUAUAAGACAAGAAGACCCUUGCAGCUUUACUGUUAUCAUAUAUUGUAAAUUUUUACUAUUUGUGUAGAAUAGUUAGUAGUUAAUAAUUUAAAUCGCUAGAUUUCUAAUUUAUAAGACGAAAUAUGAAAUACUAACCUAAUAAAUAAAAAUUCACUAAUUAAUAUUAAUAAUAAUAUUUUAAAAUAUAUAUGAAAGACAGUUUUGUUGGGGCGAUAGCCUUCUAAAAGAUAACGAAGGCUUUCAAAGGUUAAUUCAUUCACAUUAGAAAUGUGUAAUUGUAGUGUAAGAGCAUAUAAUUAGCCUGACUGUGAGAUAGAUGUAUCGAACAGGGACUAACGUCGGAUCUAGUGAACCACUAAAAAUUAUUGGAUAUUUUAGUGAUAAUAAACUAAGUUACGCAAGGGAUAACAGUGUAAUAUCUGGCAAGAGUUCUUAUCUACCCAGAUGUUUGCCACCUCGAUGUUGAAUUGACAUAUCCUUCGGGUGCAGAAGCUCGAAAGGGUUGGACUGUUCGUCCAUUAAAAUGUUACAUGAUUUGAGUUUAAACCGUCGUGAGACAGGUUGGAUUCUAUCUAUAGUUUUAGUUUAAAUGAUUAAUUGAAAUCUAUUCGUACGCAAGGAUUUUAGAUUUGAUUCCUAUGGUGUAACAGUUGUAUUUUUUUAUAUGCAUCGCUGUUUAGCUACGAAUCAAUAAUUAAGUGCUGGAACAAGCUAAGCACCAAAUUAUAAUUAAUAUUACAUUUUAUAAUCGAUUUAGAUUAAAUCUGUCUCUUAUACACAUCUGACGCUGCCGACGAUCUACUCUGUGUA